rnacentral:misc_RNA from 1 species
CGCACCUUGCGCUCCUUGGUAUUCCAUGGAGCACGCCUGUUUGAGUGUCACGUAAACCCUCACCCUUGUGGAGUGAAAGCUUCGCCUGUGGUGGAUUUGGACCGUGCCGUAGUUGGCUCGUCCUUAAAUGCAUUAGCUUGUGCUUGUUAGAGUGCUCGGCUCGGUGUGAUAAUUAUCUGCGCCGUUUGCCUUAGGCCUCUUCUGUGUGCGCAGCUUCUAAUCGUCCCCAGCGGACAACACUUUUAAGCUUUGGCCUCAAAUCAGGUGGGACUACCCGCUGAACUUAA